UACGUAGGGCGCAAGCGUUGUCCGGAAUUAUUGGGCGUAAAGAGCUCGUAGGCGGUCUGUCGCGUCCGUUGUGAAAACUCGAGGCUCAACCUCGGGCUUGCAGUGGAUACGGGCAGACUGGAGUGCGGUAGGGGAGACUGGAAUUCCUGGUGUAGCGGUGGAAUGCGCAGAUAUCGGGAGGAACACCAGUGGCGAAGGCGGUUGCCUGGAGCUUUGCUGACGCUGAGGCGCGAAAGCGUGGGGAGCGAUCCGG
rnacentral:rRNA from 1 species